AGCCAUGGAAGUGGGGCUACCAUAAUGUAGAAGCUCAGUCUAGCAUGACAAUAGUAGUUAUUUACUAGCCCAACAUUGAAUUUCACUAGCCAUGGGAGUGGGGCUACCAUAAUCUAGAAGCUCUGAUUACAACCUAAACCCUUCAACAGCCUUAAUGGUCAUUGGUUUCAAUGGUUUGCACCAUCUGAUGAACGUUCCAUAACACAGUCAGUUACAAUUAGGUCAGCUGUAGUGUUUACCAAGAUGACACACCAAUAAGUUCAACUAGCAACUCUUAGUUGGUUUGUACUUGCCUGUAAUUAUGAUACAGUGCAUGACCCACCAAUAAGAUCAACUAGCAACUCUUAGUUGGUUUGUACUUGCCUGUAAUUAUGAUACAGUGCAUGACCCACCAAUAAGGUCAACUAGCAACUCUUAGGUAGUUUGUACUUACCUGUAAUUAUGAUACAGUGCAUGACCCACCAAUAAGGUCAACUAACAACUCUUAGGUAGUUUGUACUUACCUGUAAUUAUGAUACAGUACAUGACACACCAAUACGGUCAACUAGCAACUCUUAGGUAGUUUGUACUUGCCUGUAAUUAUGAUACAGUACAUGACACACCAAUAAGGUCAACUAGCAACUCUUAAUUGGUUUGUACAUGCCUGUAAUUAUAAUAGAGUGCAUGACACACCAAUACGGUCAACUAGCAACUCUUAGGUAGUUUGUACUUGCCUGUAAUUAUGAUACAGUGCAUGACACACUAAUACGGUCAACUAGAUGACACACCAAUACGGUCAACUAGCAACCAUAGGAGGUUUGUUAUGCUUGUAACUAUACCAGCUGAACUCAGCAGUGCAGCACCGUUGACCCAUAUCUAGUUUGCUUUAUUGUUGGUUUGUAUACUAUAUGUAUAUAUACUAUAUGUAUACAGUCAGUAAAACAGACCAGAAACCAUCUAGCUGGCCACCCAUUCUAGUUUGCAUUAUUGUUGGUUUGUGUACAGUAUGUAUACAGUCAGUGAAACAGACUGGAAACCAUCUAGCUGACCACCCAUGUCUUGUUGACUUUUUUGUUGGUUUGUAUACAGUAUGUAUACAGUCCGUGAAACAGACUGGAAACCAUCUAGCUGACCACUUAUGACUGGUUGACUUUAUUUGUUGGUUUGUGUACUUCGUGUAUACAGUUGGUGAAACAGACUGGAAACCAUCUAGCUGACCACCCAUGUCUGGUUGACUUUAUUGUUGGUUUGUGUACUGCAUGUAUACAGUCGGCGAAACAGACUGGAAACCAUCUAGCUGACCACCCAUGUCUAAUUGACUUUAUUGUUGGUUUGUGUACUGUAUAACAAACAUUGGGUUAAUGGAGGUGAAGGGUACUGUAGAUCUUGAAAUUAAUGCGUCCCUAAAUUAAUGUGAGUGACGGUGGGCAGACUAAAAUGCAACAUAAAAUUAAUGCAAGUGGCCUCCCUUUGAAAUAUUACUUUUCUAACAUAUGUCUGUGUCCUUUUCGGUUAAAUCCGAGUUAAAGGUCUCUUCAAUGAGACUAACUCACUAACAUGUCUGUGUACACAUCAAUUAACCUGUUUAGUCCCUUGUGUUUUUGGUUAGAUCAACUCAAAGCAUAUGUUUUAGCAAUCAUUUACAUAAUGUGUAUAUUUAGCUAAAUCUGGUUAAACAUGUAUGUACUAUUACAACUGUAUCUUUAUCUGUGAAUGGUGAUUUCAAAGUCAUAAUGAAAGAAAAAUUCACCCAGUGGGAUGCUGACAAAGUUGCAUCAAACUUGAACAGUAAAAACAAACAAAGCAUCGACCUCAGUAUUAGCGUGCGAAAACAAAUUAACGCGCGAUGGAUCGUGUCGGCUAUUGACAGGGUGGCCAAAGACCCUGCAAUCGCCACACGUGGCUGGGAGCUUGCUGAACUAUUGGACAAUUAGAAUUUUAAUCUUUGUUUUGUUUUAAUAACAUGAGACACAUAGGCAAAAACAUAGAAAUAAAUGUGUCAUGUUAUUAAUGCGAAUAACACAAUCUCGCAUUUUUCGCAUUAAUAUUAUGAUCGCAUUAAUUUCAGGAUCUACAGUAUUUCAUGAGCAGAAGAGUAUUUUUGUGUGAAUGGAUAUGUUGCAUUUUACACUGCAGCUUUUCUAUCCAUCUCAUGUUAGCUUUACAUAGUCAGUUACAUUCUUAUGUUUACAUUUUGUAUUCUAAUUUUUACAUUUUGUUUGCGUUUGUUGCAUUUUAAAAUUAAAAAUAUCAAUUAUGAUCACCAACGUUAUAGCAGAUAAAGUGUUUGAAAUGUAGUUUUAACAAAUGAUGAAAUGUGAUGAAUGUCAGUUAUUUUGUUUGUUGGUAUAUUAUAGCUAUGAUUGUGGCUGUUCAACAGUUAUGCAUUGGUGUCAGACGUGAAGAGAAAUUUCAACCACCAAGAGUGUACUUUUUCUAUCUGAUAUGACCGCAUAUGAUGGGAGGUUUUUAUUUGAAAAUUUUAUCAUAAAUAAAUUAUACUAUCAUA